UGGGGAAUUUUGGACAAUGGGCGAAAGCCUGAUCCAGCAAUGCCGCGUGUGUGAAGAAGGCCUUCGGGUUGUAAAGCACUUUUGUCCGGAAAGAAAUCCUUGGCUCUAAUACAGUCGGGGGAUGACGGUACCGGAAGAAUAAGCACCGGCUAACUACGUGCCAGCAGCCGCGGUAAUACGUAGGGUGCAAGCGUUAAUCGGAAUUACUGGGCGUAAAGCGUGCGCAGGCGGUUUGCUAAGACCGAUGUGAAAUCCCCGGGCUCAACCUGGGGAACUGCAUUGGUGACUGGCAGGCUAGAGUAUGGCAGAGGGGGGUAGAAUUCCACGUGUAGCAGUGAAAUGCGUAGAGAUGUGGAGGAAUACGAUGGCGAAGGCAGCCCCCUGGGCCAAAUACUGACGCUCAUGCACGAAAAGCGUGGGGAGCAAAACAGGAUUAGAUACCCUGGUAGUCCACGCCCUAAAACGAUGUCAACUAGUUGUUGGGGAUUCAUUUCCUUAGUAACGUAGCUAACGCGUGAAGUUGACCGCCUGGGGGAGUACGGUCGCAAGAUUAAAACUUAAAUGAAUUGACGGGGUCAUAGCUGUUUCCU
rnacentral:rRNA from 1 species